rnacentral:lncRNA from 1 species
UCGUCAUGCCCAGAAAACGUCAGUUCAAAGCAAAGUUUUGUCCAGUAAUGAGCCAAUGAAAAUUGCUAAGUGCAAGAUCUGUCUGCGCAGCUAUCAAACCCGGGCUUGGGUGAGAGCAGAGCUGGGCUGGCGGGUCUGCCCUGAGCUCUCCGCGCCGGCGGCUUGGAAGCAGGACUGCGCGUGGAGCACUUCGAGGCUCGCCUGCGCGCCGGUUUACCAGAGGAACCGCUUAAGCUCCCGUAGAUAGAAGGAGCAUCCCCUGCCUUGGUAAACUGCGUUACAGCGAUACAGAUUUGGCCUUUCAGCUCAGACGAUGCUUAUUGAGGACGGCUCAUUCCGCUUCCGCGGCGCUGCUCCGGCCGUGGGCGCUGGGGGCCGCGGAAGGGAGCGCGUGUCACGCUGCAGCCGGCGAGGCCCCGCGUGCCGGCGCGAGAAGGCGCACGGGAAAGCCAAGCAGGGGCUUCGUUCCCAGCGUCCGGGAGCGUGGGGCAAGCUCCCUUGGAGGGUGCUGGAUCAUCGCGUUGUCGCCUUGCUGUCCCUGGAUGCGUUCCCGGAGAGAUCCUGCCAGAAGAUUAAAGAAGAUUUAAUGAAAAAAAAAGAAAAAGAGCAAAUGCGGAACAUGGAGAAGAGAGAGGAGUCUUAUCUCUCUGCCUCUAAAAAUGAGCCAUGGUUCAAAAAAUAAAUUGCAGUGAAGUCUAUUUUAAAAACUUAAAGGACGUCGGAAGCUGCUGGGAGGCAGUGCCCUCGCACAUACGGACCUCUGAAGGAACGAUUGCUCCUGCGCUAUCCCGAUUUUGCAGGCGCGCUGUGUAAAGGAGCCGUUUCCCGGAGAGCCCAUCGUGUCCCGCCGGCGUCCGCGCGAGCGGGAGGCCCCAGCAGCGUCGGGACCCCGGUCCCAGCACGGCCCAUGUGAGCUGGGGGCUGAUCCUAACGCCGCCUCGAAGGAGCCGUCUGCAAGCCGGGACCAAAGCCCCGGAGGUGGUGCCGAGGGGUGAUGGAGCUGGGCGAAGGCACCGCAGCGGCUCUGCGAGACCUGGCCUUGGAGCCGCCUGGGGAGCCUCAUCCCUGGCUGGAAGGGUGCCGCCACCCGGGAGCGGGACGGGGCGCAGAGCUGGCGCCCGUCAGGGCUCGGAUCUCCGCUUCACCCGCCGGAGGCCGAGCCGCCACAACGCUGCGCGCAGCCCGGCUUUGCUGCAUCGCUGGUGUUGCCUAGACACAUUUCACUCAAAAUUUGAAUUUCACGCAAAGCUCUGAGCCAAGAAAAAUUCUUCCAAGGUUUUCUUUUUUUUUUUUUCAUUUAAACUUCAAAUAAAAACUGCUUAAUAGUUUCUUGGAAUCGCA